UACAGAGGGUGCAAGCGUUGUUCGGAAUUAUUGGGCGUAAAGCGCGUGUAGGCGGCCUAGCAAGUCGGGUGUGAAAGCCCUCAGCUCAACUGAGGAAGUGCGCCCGAAACUGCAUGGCUUGAGUACCGGAGAGGAUGGCGGAAUUCCCCAAGUAGAGGUGAAAUUCGUAGAUAUGGGGAGGAACACCGGUGGCGAAGGCGGCCAUCUGGACGGAUACUGACGCUGAGACGCGAAAGCGUGGGUAGCAAACAGG
rnacentral:rRNA from 1 species